CAAACUCCUAGGCUCAAGUGAUCCUCCCGCUUCAGUCUCCCAAGGUGCUGGGAUUACAGGUGUGAGCCUGUGUGCCUGGCCACAUUUUACUUUUCUUAGAGCAUAUUUAACACUUGGGUUUAUAUUUCACUAUUUGUGUAUCUUUCUCUCCUUCCUAGAUUGUAACAUCCCGAAGGGCACUGGUUGUGUAUUUUUACUCUUAGAAUCCCCCACAGUGCCUCACAUCCAGUGUCCAGGUUUGUUUAGAAUUUGGAACUGGGGAAGAACCAAGGAAGAGGCCCCAAAGAUGGACACUAAUGCUUUUUUUUUUUUUUUUUUUUUUAAAGAGACAUGGUCUCACACUGAUGCCCAGGCUGGAAUGCAGUGGUGCAAUCAUAACUCACUGCAGCCUUGAACUCCUGGGCUCAAGCAAUCCUCCUCUCUGUCUCCUGAGGAGUGUGCCACUAUACCUGCCUUAUUUUUUAAACUUAUUUUUUGUAGAGACAGGGUUUCACUAUGUUGCCCAGGAUGAUGUUGAACCCUUGGCCUCAAGCAAUCCUCCCACCUCCAGCCUCCCAAAGCACUGAGUUGUAGUUGUGAACCACCACACCCAGCUCUCUUCUUCUAUAAACUAUGCCUGAGAUAGCUGCUUUUGGGAGCAUUGUUGGUGUUUGCCAGUUUCUAAGCAUGAUUCUCCAGCCAGCUGAAAAUCCUCUGAUAUAGUUCUGACAAAUUCCCCUUUGCUUACAUUAGCUGAAAUUGGUUUCCCUUGCUUACAACCAAAGAACUGUGAUAGCAGAAAACAAAGAGAAAACCAAAGGCAGCCAUCUUUCUCCGGUUUUCAGCAAUCUCUUCUGGUACCUCUCCAUCUAAAUCUGUCUUUCCAGUUCCCACCACCAAAGUACUUGGAAUUGUUCAAGCCUUAGUUCUUGAGGCCCCAAACACUACAUCCACAUUGUUCAUGGGGCAAUUUUUAAAUAAAAAAUGUGUGAAAGAAUUCCUCUUAGAAAUUUAACAUGUAACUUUUAAUAUGCUACUGAAUUGCAGCAAACAUGCGGAAAUACUGGCAAAGACAGCUGUAGAUGAAACAGCCAAGGGAGAGCCAACAAUUAUGGUUGGUGUUAAGUUGGAUGAAUUGAAAUAAGAGACAAAUACUUCAUAGAAUUGUAUUAAGGCAUAUGCAUGAAAAAGGAGGGAAGCAAUUAUUUUUGCUUUAUUUGGCACUGGGCAGGCUUCAGUUGGAACAAACUAUAUUUAAUUUUACAUGUCAUACUAUAUAAAGAGAAAAAACUUGGAGACUGUUCAGAGAACAGCAACUGAUGAAAGGUUUGUGAAAUUAGACCUAUGAGAAAUUGUGAAAAGAACUGGGCAUGUUCAGUCAAAUGCAGGACAUCCAGGUGUGAUGAAUGGUGAACAAUUAACUGUAAGUAUGUGAAGAGAUGGUUACCAAGUCUCAGGUAUAGGGGAAACAGAAAGGUAAAUCAUGGGAUUAAAAAAACAAACAGGCCAGGUGUGGUGGCUCACACCUACAAUCCCAGCACUUUGGGAGGCCGACGUGGAAGGAUUGCUUGAGCCCAGGAGUUUGAGACCAGCCUAGGCAACAAAGCGAGACCCUAUUUCUACAAAAAAUAGGAAAAAUUAACUGGUCAUGGUGGUGCGCACCUGUGGUCCCAGCUACUUGAGAGGUUGAAGUAGAUGGUCACUUGGGCCUAGGAUGUCGAGGGGGUAGUGAGCUGUGAUUGCACUACUGCACUCCAGAGGGACAUCUUGCCUCAACAAACCGCAUAGCAAUGGAAGUAGAGACCAAAUAUUGUGAAAAGGUUAAACUAAAAAGCUUUGAAGAAACUGAUGGAGU
rnacentral:lncRNA from 10 species